rnacentral:rRNA from 1 species
AGUCUGGUGCCAGCAGCCGCGGUAAUUCCAGCUUCAGUAGCGUAUAUUAAAGUUGUUGCAGUUAAAAAGCUCGUAGUCGCAUUUCUGGCGAGAGGAUCCGGUCCGACCUUUUGGUGGGUUCUUGGGUCUCUUUCGCCAUCCUUGAGUGGUCCGUUCUGGCAUUAGGUUGUCGGAGCGUCAGCCGCUCAUCGUUUACUGUGAGAAAAUUAGAGUGUUCAAAGCAGGCUUAUGCCGUUGAAUAUAUUAGCAUGGAAUAAUAAGAUAGGACCUCGGUACUAUUUUGUUGGUUUGCACACCAAGGUAAUGAUGAACAGGGACAGUUGGGGGUAUUUGUAUUUCGUUGUCAGAGGUGAAAUUCUUAGAUUUACGAAAGACAAACUACUGCGAAAGCAUUUACCAAGGAUGUUUUCAUUGAUCAAGAACGAAAGUAUGGGGAUCGAAGAUGAUUAGAUACCAUCGUAGUCUAUACCAUAAACUAUGCCGACUCAGGAUGGGCGGGUGUUAUUUUGACCUCGUCUGCACUGUAUGAGAAAUCAAAGUCUUUGGGUUCCGGGGGGAGUAUGGUCGCAAGGCUGAAACUUAAAGAAAUUGACGGAAGGGCACCACCAGGAGUGGAACCUGCGGCUUAAUUUGACCCAACACGGGAAAACUUAUCAGGUCCAGACAUAGUGAGGAUUGACAGAUUGAGAGCUCUUUCUUGAUUCUAUGGGUGGUGGUGCAUGGCCGUUCUUAGUUGGUGGAGUGAUUUGUCUGGUUAAUUCCGUUAACGAACGAGACCGCAGCCUGCUAAAUAAUCACAGUAAUGAUUUUUCAUUGCUGAUGGUUUCUUAGAGGGACAUGUAGUAUAAAACUACAGGAAGAUUGCGGCAAUAACAGGUCUGUGAUGCCCUUAGAUGUUCUGAACCGCACGCGUGUUACACUGAUGUAUUCAACGAGCAUAUAACCUUAGCCGAGAGGCUUGGGCAAUCUUGUUAACCUACAUCGUGAUAGGGAUAGAUUAUUGCAAUUAUUAAUCUUGAACGAGGAAUUCCUAGUAAACGCACAUCAUCAAUGUGCAUUGAUUACGUCCCUGCCCUUUGUACACACCGCCCGUCGCACCUACCGAUUGAGUGGUCCGGUGAAUUCUCGGGAUUGUGGUUGAUUUCUUUUAUUAGGAUUCGACUGCGAGAACUUGUGUAAACCUUAUCACUU